CCUACGGGAGGCUGCAGUGAGGAAUAUUGGUCAAUGGGCGCUAGCCUGAACCAGCCAAGUCGCGUGAAGGAUGACUGCCCUAUGGGUUGUAAACUUCUUUUAUAUGGGAAUAAAGUGCAGUAUGUAUACUGCUUUGCAUGUACCUUAUGAAUAAGGAUCGGCUAACUCCGUGCCAGCAGCGGCGGUAAUACGGAGGAUCCGAGCGUUAUCCGGAUUUAUUGGGUUUAAAGGGAGCGUAGAUGGGUUGUUAAGUCAGUUGUGAAAGUUUGCGGCUCAACCGUAAAAUUGCAAUUGAUACUGGCAGCCUUGAGUACAGUUGAGGUAGGCGGAAUUCGUGGUGUAGCGGUGAAAUGCUUAGAUAUCACGAAGAACUCCGAUUGCGAAGGCAGCUUACUAGACUGCCACUGACAUUGAUGCUCGAAAGUGUGGGUAGCAAACAGGAUUAGAUACCCGAGUAGUC
rnacentral:rRNA from 1 species